rnacentral:lncRNA from 1 species
AGUACUUGCCGUCCAGCCGCCGCUCCGAGUCGGUGCGCUCGGUGCCGCCGAACAUGGCGUUAAGAAGGAUGUUGCCGGAAAUCUUGAUCCCCGCGUCGGCGGCGCGGACGGCGACGUGGUGCGCGAUGUUGCCGCCGGAGCUGUCGCCAGAGAGGAACACGCGGGGCUGGGCGUCCUCGCCGCUGCGGAGGAACGGCUGCGACAUGGCCCACUUGAGCGCAGCCCAGCCGUCGUCGUAGGCGCACGGGUACCGGUGCUCGGGGGCGCGCCGGUAGUUGACGGACAGCACGACGCCCUUGCUCAGCUUCACGAACCGGCGGCACAGGUUGUCGUAGAUGGCCGUGCUGGACGAGGAGUGCGCGAAGCUGCCGCCGUGGAAGAAGAGGAUGACCGGGAACGGGUCCGGGGACGGCGCGCCGG